UGCCGCUAACUGGAGUGGGAGCAAUGGAAAUUGGGGAGAGCAGAGGGUUUAUGUCCGGUGUAGCGGAGACGCUUAGGCAAAUCGGAGCGUCGAAAGAAGAAGCUUCAAAAGAACGGGAUGCCGAGGAAGCUGCAAAUACACAGUACGAUGAAACGAAUGAUGAUUACGAUGACAUGGAAUUAUAGACCGAUGCGCCUCGGACCCAACAGCUCUCAUCUUGUGGCUGAUGUAACUAUGCGAAGAGCCAAAAAGGGAAU
rnacentral:sRNA from 1 species